rfam:Myotis davidii contig137305, whole genome shotgun sequence.
GGAGGUUCUUGGGCGACGUACCCCGGAAUCAGGCUCCCUCCUCUCUGGUUCCGGGAUACGUCACCUGAUAACUGCU